rnacentral:rRNA from 1 species
GAUGAACGCUGGCGGCGUGCCUAAUACAUGCAAGUCGAGCGAACGGACGAGAAGCUUGCUUUUCUGAUGUUAGCGGCGGACGGGUGAGUAACACGUGGAUAACCUACCUAUAAGACUGGGAUAACUUCGGGAAACCGGAGCUAAUACCGGAUAAUAUUUUGAACCGCAUGGUUCAAAAGUGAAAGACGGUCUUGCUGUCACUUAUAGAUGGAUCCGCGCUGCAUUAGCUAGUUGGUAAGGUAACGGCUUACCAAGGCAACGAUGCAUUGCCGACCUGAGAGGGUGAUCGGCCACACUGGAACUGAGACACGGUCCAGACUCCUACGGGAGGCAGCAGUAGGGAAUCUUCCGCAAUGGGCGAAAGCCUGACGGAGCAACGCCGCGUGAGUGGUGAAGGUCUUCGGAUCGUAAAACUCUGUUAUUAGGGAAGAACAUAUGUGUAAGUAACUGUGCACAUCUUGACGGUACCUAAUCAGAAAGCCACGGCUAACUACGUG